rnacentral:rRNA from 1 species
UACAGAGACCCUCAAGCGUUAUCCGGAAUCAUUGGGCGUAAAGCGUACCGAUCGGUGGUCAUACAAGUCAGAAGUGAAAUCUCCAAGCUCAACUUGGAAUCUGUCUUUGAAACUGUACGACUAGAGGGGCAAAGAGGAAGUCGGAACGAACGGUGUAGUAGUGAAAUGCGUUGAUAUCGUUCGGAACACCAAUAGCGAAGGCAGACUUCUGGGCCAAUACUGACGCUCAUGCACGAAAGCGUGGGGAGCAAACAGGAUUAGAAACCCCGGUAGU